GGUAAAUCUCUCAGGUGAAAGUAC
rnacentral:siRNA from 1 species